rnacentral:rRNA from 1 species
AUUGAACGCUGGCGGCGUGCUUAACACAUGCAAGUCGAUCGGUAACAGGUGUAGCAAUACAUGCUGACGAGAGGCGGACGGGUGAGGAACGCUUGGGAAUCUGCCUAUCAGCGGGGGACAACCCGGGGAAACCCGGGCUAAUACCGCAUACGCUCUACGGAGGAAAACCGGGGACCGCAAGGCCUGGCACUGAUAGAUGAGCCCAAGUCGGAUUAGCUAGUUGGCGGGGUAACGGCCCACCAAGGCGACGAUCCGUAGCUGGUCUGAGAGGACGAUCAGCCACACCGGAACUGAGACACGGUCCGGACUCCUACGGGAGGCAGCAGUGGGGAAUAUUGGACAAUGGGCGAAAGCCUGAUCCAGCGACGCCGCGUGGGUGAAGAAGGCCUGCGGGUUGUAAAGCCCUUUCGGUAGGGACGAAAGCUCUCGACCUAACACGUCGGGAGGUUGACUUAACCUACAAAAGAAGCACCGGCUAACUCUGUGCCAGCCGCCGCUGUAA